GUCUUUUAGCUUUUCUUUGGAUGUGCAUAGGUGUGUGUGUUUAUGUUGGCCUGGUUACAAAUGUGUGAAUGUGGCUGUUCUUGUGCCAAAGCUUGAGUGUGGAAGACAAACAACAACAUCAGGUGUUGAGCCUUUAUUUCUACCUUGUUUGAGAGAGUCUCUUUCUUCUUGUUCAGCACUGUGUGUGCCAGAUUAGCUGGUCACAAGCUUCUAAGCAUUCUCCUGUCUCCACUCCCAUGUCAUAGAAGGAGUACUAAGUGGCAUAUACAUCAUGGUUUGAGCACAUUCAUGCCUGGCUAUCCAUGAGAGAAAGGGACAACUACCUGCUACUGAGGUAUGACUGGGGACUGGAAGAUUCACUUUACAGUAACCCAAGAUGAAGCCUUUGAUAAAGUAUUCCAGGAGAAAAUGGCUGGUUUUCCCACAGGGCUUUUCCUGUGGAAAUAAUUUCUUAACAUUUAAAGCAUAUAUUGACAGAGGGGUUUAUUUUCCUGUCAUUAUACAUGUGAAUGCCUGGAUGCAAUCAUAGAAUAAAUCUUGUU